GACGAACGCUGGCGGCGUGCUUAACACAUGCAAGUCGAACGAUGAAGCCUAGCUUGCUAGGUGGAUUAGUGGCGAACGGGUGAGUAAUACGUGAGUAACCUACCUUUAACUCUGGGAUAAGCCCGGGAAACUGGGUCUAAUACCGGAUACGACCAAUCUCCGCAUGGGGUGUUGGUGGAAAGCGUUAUGUAGUGGUUAUAGAUGGGCUCACGGCCUAUCAGCUUGUUGGUGAGGUAACGGCUCACCAAGGCGACGACGGGUAGCCGGCCUGAGAGGGUGACCGGCCACACUGGAACUGAGACACGGCCCAGACUCCUACGGGAGGCAGCAGUGGGGAAUAUUGCACAAUGGGCGCAAGCCUGAUGCAGCGACGCCGCGUGAGGGAUGACGGCCUUCGGGUUGUAAACCUCUGUUAGCAGGGAAGAAGAGAGAUUGACGGUACCUGCAGAGAAAGCGCCGGCUAACUACGUG
rnacentral:rRNA from 1 species